ensembl:lncRNA
AGUUGGAAGCCCAGUAAUGCUCGUGGAGGUCACGGAAGACCUGGAAUCAGCCUCCCCAUUUCUCUGGUCGCAGGAGACCCUGUGGGUCCCAUCGGGGCUGAUAGUUGAUGCCGAAGCCCCUUUCCUCCCAUGAAAUCUUCCAGGGUUGAUGAGCCAGAAUCCAGAUUUGGGACCAAAAAAAAAGGAGAAAGCUCUAUGGAGAGCUCUGAGCCUGUGUCUUAGUGAAAAUGACAAGAGUGGAGGCCCUAGCUCUAGUCUUCACUCUUUUUCUUCCUACAUUUGUAUGAAAGUGAUCAAGAGUUCAACAAAUAUACCCCCUGUUCCUGAGGAUGAUCCAUUUUAAGCAGGAUUUUUGCUGAGGCAAAUCCCAUAUUGAUGGUGGUAAAAAUCAUUUGGAAGGCAUAUGUCAGGGGCUGGAGUUCUGGUCUUGUUUCUGUCUCCAAAUAGGUAGUCAUGAGAAAGCAGAAUGAAGAGCCAGAAAUAGGUUCCAGCCCACUCCCAUCCAGAGCUUUGGUGUAUCAGGUGUUACUGGUAGAAUAUAGGUAACAGAAGAGUGUGGACUUAUACCUGUUCUGUUCAUUUCUAUGUCCCUAGAACUUGCCUCAUAGUAAGCCUUCAAUUCAUGUUUUCCAAUGAAUGAUUGCAUCACUAUUAUUUAAAUUUUAAAAUUUAACAAAAUUUCCUGCACUAAUACCUGUAGGUUUUUAUUCUAGAAAAUGUUCAAUGUUUGAUGUUGUACAACAAAUAAUGUAAAAAAAGGGAGGGGAUGAUGAUGGUGGGAGAGGCAGCCAGAAAGACAUUUAUGUAACCAAUGGGGAAAGUAUAAAAAAAAGUAUUUUAAAACAUCUCUUAGAACUUGUGCUACUAUUACAAGUUUGGCUAAAUGGCUGUAGUUGCCAGGGGUUGGGAGGAGGCAGAGAUGAAUAGACAGAUCACAGAGUUUUAGGGCAAGAAAACUACCCUUAAUGAUAACACAGUGGUGGAUACACACCGUAAUACAUCUCAAAACCCAGAACAUAUGCAACACCAAGAGUGAACCCUGAAGGAAACUGUGGACUUUGGGUGACAAUGACAUGUCAUGCAGAUUCAUCGCUUGUAACAAAUGUAUCACUCAGAUGCUGGAUGUAGAUAGUGGGGAAGGUUGUCUCUGUGGUGACAGGGGUAUUUGAGAAAUCUUCGUAUCUUCUGCCCAAGUUUGUUGUGAACCUAAAACUGCUCUAAAAAAUAAAGUUUAUUAAAAAAGGGAGUUAGCCUAAUGGUAACUUCUAGUGUAUCUUCCAUUGAGCAUUAGAAAAUAAAACCACUUCCCCUGGAAAAUUAAUAAACGAUGUCUCUUUUGCUUUCCAUCUUUGGCACCAUGGCUUAAGCAUUUCAGCUACAAUGGAAAAAAUUGUUACUUUUAUUUUCCCAGAAAUUAUGAGUUUCAUUUUAUAAUAAAUGCAUAAAAAGUAUAUGAAACUAUAGUGCUUUUUUUACUGCAUAAAUCCAGCAAUGAAUUAAAUAUAUUAGUUCACUUCAUAAACAGUAAUUUAGAACCCAGAUUACCCAGGGUCACAUGCCAGGUAUUCUAACAAAUGUACAGAUUUUUUUUUUUAAUGAUAACCUGCUUCAUUUCUGAGGGAUCUUGCCUUUUUCAGAUAUUUAUAUAUUUUUCAUUUGUUCCUCACAGCCCUGGGUAGUCAACAGGGAAAGAUUUUUUUAAAUUUUAUUAGAUUAUAGCUGAUUUACAAAGUUGUGUUAAUUUCAGAUGUACAGCAAGGUAAAUUAGUUGUACAUAGACAUAUAUCUGUUCCUUUCAGAUUCUUUUCCCAUAUAGGUUACCACACAAUACUGAGUACAUUUUUCUGAGCUAUACAGUAGGGCCCCUUAGCCAUCUAGUCUAUAUAUAGUAGUGGGUAUAUAUCAAUCCCAACCCUGUAAUUUAUCCCCCCCAUGUUGCCCCUUUGGUAAACAUA